rnacentral:rRNA from 1 species
UACAGAGGGUGCAAGCGUUGUUCGGAAUUACUGGGCGUAAAGCGCGUGUAGGCGGUUUCGCAAGUCGGGUGUGAAAGCCCAGGGCUCAACCCUGGAAGUGCAUUCGAUACUGCGAGGCUAGAGUACCGGAGAGGGUGGUGGAACUCUCGGUGUAGAGGUGAAAUUCGUAGAUAUCGAGAAGAACACCGGUGGCGAAGGCGGCCACCUGGACGGAUACUGACGCUGAGACGCGAAAGCGUGGGGAGCAAACAGG